rnacentral:rRNA from 1 species
UACGUAGGGUGCGAGCGUUAAUCGGAAUUACUGGGCGUAAAGCGUGCGCAGGCGGUUUUGUAAGACAGAGGUGAAAUCCCCGGGCUCAACCUGGGAACUGCCUUUGUGACUGCAAGGCUUGAGUGCGGCAGAGGGGGAUGGAAUUCCGCGUGUAGCAGUGAAAUGCGUAGAUAUGCGGAGGAAUACCGAUGGCGAAGGCAGCCCCCUGGGAUAACACUGACGCUCAUGCACGAAAGCGUGGGGAGCAAACAGG